rnacentral:rRNA from 1 species
AAUAGAUACCCCGGUAGUCCACCCCGUAGACGUUGGGAACUAGUUGUGGGGUCCUUUCCACGGAUUCCGUGACGCAGCUAACGCAUUAAGUUCCCCGCCUGGGGAGUACGGCCGCAAGGCUAAAACUCAAAGGAAUUGACGGGGACCCGCACAAGCGGCGGAGCAUGCGGAUUAAUUCGAUGCAACGCGAAGAACCUUACCAAGGCUUGACAUACACCAGAACACCCUAGAAAUAGGGGACUCUUUGGACACUGGUGAACAGGUGGUGCAUGGUUGUCGUCAGCUCGUGUCGUGAGAUGUUGGGUUAAGUCCCGCAACGAGCGCAACCCUCGUUCUAUGUUGCCAGCACGUAAUGGUGGGAACUCAUGGGAUACUGCCGGGGUCAACUCGGAGGAAGGUGGGGAUGACGUCAAAUCAUCAUGCCCCUUAUGUCUUGGGCUUCACGCAUGCUACAAUGGCCGGUACAAAGGGCUGCAAUACCGUGAGGUGGAGCGAAUCCCAAAAAGCCGGUCCAGUUCGGAUUGAGGUCUGCAACUCGA